UGUUGGGGAAUUUCCGGCACCCCCAUGCUCGGACCGGGGGUGUUCUGAUAGUUGCUCAACGGAGGGUAAAGCACACUGACACAAUAUUUUACGUGGUUCGGCAAAUCGCCUACAUCCACGGGAGAGGUCCAUUUUAUUAGAGAUAGAGAAAGGAUACAAUAAAUACAUGGAGGAGGAGGAUUACAUCCACUCUACUCUACUCCCAGCUCUCACACACAGCUGUUGCAGCUACUGCAAUGGCAGCAAGGCUGCUGCCAUUGCAGCUCUCUCUUUCUCUCUAUUCUCACGUUCUCACUCUCUUGCAACCAUCUCAUUUUGCUCUCAACAAAUAUGCCUCCUUUAUAGGCAUUUCAUGGUGAGCUCCUCCAGCACACAAAUGUCAACAGAGGGGACAAUAAAGCCACAAAAUAAGGCACAAAUGGUGGCACUAAAUAUUCCACUUGCUUAGUGGUGGGUGGGGCAUUUGCCACAAUAAUGGCAAUUUCCUAACAAUCACCCCCUUUGCCAUUUAUGUGGGCAAUUGUCCUUUUUGCUUCUUCAGCACAAGCUUGCAUUCUGCAUCUUUUCCAAGCUUACCAUUCUGAGAGCGUCUUCAAUCCAACAUCCCCUUCGAGCGUAUCAACCAUGCUCAGUCCGGAAUGAUUUUUCAAGCCUUACACCAAGGCUUACAACACCCCCUCAAACGGAUAUUCCAAGUGCGACGGUCAUUGAGUAUUUCAAUGUGAUCACAAGCUCACCACUCUUCCAAGAGUUUACUCAUCCAGGAGUUGCGUCUGCCCUCUGUUCCACCCUAAGAACCACGCCUUACUUCUCCGCGAGUCUCUCGCUCUUAGUCGUAAGAGUCCAGGUAGCUCUCCACCUUUAACCAUGGGGGCAACCCAUUAAAGGUUGAUCCAUAUCUGUCUUCAUACUCUGAGUAUUACAAUGCCAUUACCGAGCUCACCACCUUGACAAGAGUCAACUCGUUCUCGGAACCUGCGCAUGCCCUUCUGCUUCUUCAUAGCAGCCGCGUCUUAAUGCUCCACAAGUCACACACUUAUUGUCCAAGGCAAAUGUCUUCUAGCUCAUUGAUCUUUAGCAUUGGGGCAAUAUCCAUGAAAGUCAAUCCUGCAUUUGUCUCCAUACUCAUCAUAGCCACUUCAUUGGCUAUACACCUGUCCACUCAUAUCUAGCCAUCACAUUGGCUCUGGGGCGUUCUGAACUAGGCUCAUAUCAUGACCCACACACCUUCUCCUCAGGUGUCUCCGCUCGUCGUCAUGCGGCGGUCUGAAUUGGGGCUCCUCUAAUGGCCCUCACACCUUCUCUAAGGUGUCUUCGCCCGUUGUCAUAGGGCGGUCUGAACUGGGGCUCCUCUCAUAGCCCUCACACCUUCUCUACGGUGUCUUCGCCCGUUGUCAUGGGGCGGUCGCAUCCUCCUUCAGCUGAGAUGCUUUAAAGUGGCUCCAAAAUUCUCUACCACCAUGUGCACUAUGGGAGAGAUUACUGCCACUGACUACAUAGAAAGAGAAAGUUGCGGUAUACUUCUCGCAAUCCUCCACCUCAAUUUCUAUGUUUGGAGCUUCUGUGCCUUUCUGCUUGACAGCUCCACCUACACCAACUCUCUUUGGUGUCUUCGCCUUUCAUCAUAGGCGGUUGCCUUGUAUCACAGGCAUUUGCACCCCCUCAAUUAGGUGCUUCUACAACAGCUCUCUUUCCAUCCUUGCAUGCAUUGGAAAGGUCUUUGCCUGUUGUCUUCAUUAAGAGCACAAGAGACUUCCUGUUGUACAAACUUUAACAGUCUCUGCUCUGAGCUUCAUCUGGGAACACUUCUUCUCCUUGCACCUGUUGUCUCAUUACAGCACCUCGUUGGAUCCUACGGGUACUCCUGCACAAUCUCCGUGUGCCCUCGUGCAAUUUCUGUUCUCCAGAUUUCUCCCUAUUCCUUGCUUAUGUUUGACAGCAGCUCAUCCUGUCAUAACACCUAUCCAAGUCAAAAUAGGGUGCCAAUCUUUAUCCCCUUGCUGUAUUUCUCUUCCAUUAUCAGGGUCUUCAUCAAUUCUCCCUCAAGAAAUCACAGUCACCGAAUCUAACUUCUUUGGAGAAAUCACCUCUCCAUCAGAUCCUUGAACAUACGGAACUCAACUGUUCCCUUGUGCCGUCGUCUUGCUAGUCUUCAACUGUUUCAUUACAAACUGCUAUAUAUACGAAAAUAGUACCGUAUGGAUAAUCCUUCCACUAAGCAAGUUCCCAGGAAAGAUUGGAGGGGUCACACUGGUCCCGCUUAAAACCCAAUCUCCUAGACAGAACUUCUCAGGCCAUAUCUAUCCAUCGUACUGUCUUUCCGUAUAUACAACCAUUUGCUAGCUUUGUUGCGGCUUUCCUUUACAAGUGAUCUGGAAUACAUUGGUUUAAUACAUGAUUUCUCAACAUCUGGCGAGACUACCAGUUCUUAGAUUCGUCAAGAUUGGUCUUCAUUAAUUUCCACUCUACACCUCAAAUUGUCCACUUGAUCGGGUGUCCAGAGUGUCCCAAUUUUGCCUUCCCUCAAGGCAAUUAAAAUUCUCUCCACUUAGCAGUUCAGCACAUGUAAUUGGGUAAACAUGUGCACCUUCUUCUUCUUCAUCUCCAUCGACCACCAUGAUGACCUUCAGAUGCCUCCUGAUCGGGCAAUCUCUUUUGUUAAUUCACCACCACCACUUUCGAUCUCAAAUCUCAAUGAUCGGACCGUACCAUUGCAUCCGGAAUGAUCAAAUUAGCUGGAAACAGGUCUGAAAUCGUCCAAAUCGCACUUCAGACGGCUAAGAUUUGAUCAAAACAAUUCUGGCCUGAUCAAUGGCUCAGAUUCAAUCUCAGAUCCGGUUGCACGUAGGAUCAGCUACACUGGAUCCUGUCCCUCGGCUCGCGGCUCGGCUCAACUCAACUCGGCUCGCGGCUGGUGACGUGGCAGGUGGGUCCCAGUGUGCUGGCGUGUCUGCUGACUGGUCGAUGAUGUGGCUGCUGCCAUGGCAUGCCUACUGUGCAUGCUGACAUCACACUUACAUCAGGCUGAUGUCAUCCCUGACAUGCUUACUGUGCAUGCUGACAUCACAAUUAUGUCAUGCUGACGUCAUUCAUAUCCGGGUCAGCCAUGUGGGUCGGGUCAACUGGUAUUCGGGUCGGGUCAGCCCAUCCGGGCGAAGAAGACGCGUGGGGCGCGUCUGCGCGGGUGGGCAGACGCCUUGCCGGAGAGUGAUGGAGAGUGCGGCCAUGUCCGACGUCCGAUUUUGACGCCGUUUUCACCAGUGGCUUCGUCUCUUCCUCCUCUACACAGUGGUAUGGUCAAAACACAAUUUUGACAACUUUUAUUUUUGAGCAAAAAUCAAACACCACUUUAAACCAUGUGCUCUGAUACCAAUUGUUGGGGAAUUUCCGGCACCCCCAUGCUCGGACCGGGGGUGUUCUGAUAGUUGCUCAACGGAGGGUAAAGCACACUGACACAAUAUUUUACGUGGUUCGGCAAAUCGCCUACAUCCACGGGAGAGGUCCAUUUUAUUAGAGAUAGAGAAAGGAUACAAUAAAUACAUGGAGGAGGAGGAUUACAUCCACUCUACUCUACUCCCAGCUCUCACACACAGUUGUUGCAGCUGCUGCAAUGGCAGCAAGGC
rnacentral:lncRNA from 1 species